rnacentral:lncRNA from 1 species
AUGUUCCUUGUGCAGUACACAGGUCUGAAUCCACUGUCCUUUGACCCUGCCACAAACAACGAACCCCUGCAGUUCAACAGCUCCAAUGGUCCUCUGGGCUCUGACUGUCCUCUGGAAAACGGAACAGAAAACAGCAAAAAGAGGAAGAGACCCAACCUUCCCCCAGGUACACUUAAUGAUUUCCUCUCGCCUCAGACCACGCUCUGCAGUCGUUAACUGCACUCACAUCGUUAUUUCUGCCAUUGCGCUUUUCCUGACCUUUGAAUGUGGGAGGUGAAUACCUGGAGGUCCUGCAUUCUGAGAGACGCUCGCUUCAAAUCACUGCCUUCAUUAAAACCUCAGAACCGAAACCUCGGGUUAUUUCCUCUUCUCUAGUAGCUUUGAUCUCAUAAUUUGACAUAAACAUUGAGGUUAACAGAAUAAUUAAAAUAUGCAUUAUUUUUCCUGUUUAGCAUUUUAAAAUCUUUAUUUAUGACCACAUGACUCAAGGCUGGUGGAUUUCAUAUGACAAUCACCUGCAUAAUGAUGGUUCAACUAUUUUUUUUUUAUGUGGGUUUUGACCUUCUGGGUCUGUCAGCCGCUUAAUAAUUGUACAUUUCAGGCAUCACGUGUUUCCGGACAUGUUGUUCUUUGUAAAUAUUGUCUCCAUUUGAAGUCUGCCGCUCUUGCUCUGAUCUCCAGGCCCUUGAUGGUCACUGCCGCCAUUCAUGACUUGAAGUGACUCUGAUUAGGGAUAAAUGGCAGCAAGUGACGGUGAGCAGAGCUUCUCGUCGUCGUAUAUGCUCAGAGAAUUGAUGCAAAUGGAAGUGAAAUGGGUUCGUAUUGUGUUCUGGUCAUGGUGAAGAGCUGCUUGUGCAGAUCAAAGCUAGCCAGCGAGUUUUAGAUCAAAGCGUCCAAGCGCUAAUCUAAUCUGCUCAUUUCAGAACACUUUUUACUUUCGUGCAAGGACGUCGUUUGAGAAAGGCUUAGAUGAGCUGUAUUCACCAUACACCGAAUAUUUAGACACUCCGGAGUCCGGCUGCUGAAAUGGAGGAAAUUAAAAUGUUUUAUUGUUCUGCUGAGGUUGAAGAAGAGCUUUUCAGAUAUUGUAGUACUGUGGUGCUCAUUCAGACGACAUGGGUUUGAAUCCAACCUUCUGUAAGAAGUUGUAGGACAUCGUAGUCUCAAUUUUAUUUUAAUCUGGCUCGCGACAUUCCCUGAUCUUGCCUCUUGCUCUCUUAUUACUCUCUCGAGACUCCUCUAAAUAAAAUUAAAAGACUAAAAACAGGACACUCUAGUAAGUCUGAGUCAUGGCUUUAUAGAAAGCUGAGGUGCUCAUUCAGACAAUUUGAGUUCUAAUCUGGCUCGCAGCAUUCCCAGAUCUUGUUCCUCUUACGAUACGAUUCUCAUUUAAAUGAAAAUGGUGAAAUGCUAAAAAUAGGACGUUAUAGAAUGUUGGAGCCAUGGCUUAACAAAAAAACAGAAGUGCUUGUGCAGACAAUUUGAGUUUGAAUCUGGCUCGCAACAUUCCCUGAUCUUUCUCCUCUUAUUAUUUUCUCUACUGCCCUUUAAAUGUAAAAAUGCAUUUGCAUUUUCAGUAAGCCUUUCUGCUGAUUUUGUUCAGACCAAUUGGGAAAUCGAUCCAUAUUUUUACGAAUUACGCAGGAUCGACAAUAAGCUAAUGCUAAUGCGUUAUAAAAAAUCGAAACAUUUAAGACACUAAGAUAUGUUAUUAGAUUAAUAUCAUACUUGAUUGAUAGUAAUAGUUAAUUAAUGUAAUUGAUACUUUUGAUGCUUUUCUUAAAACUAGUUUAAAGGCUGAAAUGUAAAGUUUAUAAUUUGUGAAACUUUUGUGAAAACCUGUAAAUCAAGCAUUUUACAGUCAUUUAACGGUUUAAUAUGUUACCAUAGAAGUGGUUUAGAAAGGAGGGGUGCUCUUGCAGUUUGAGUUCUUAUCUGGCUUGCAACAUCUCCUGAUAUUACUGUUGUUAUUAUUAUAAAUAAAAAUGCCAAAAGACUAAAAACGGGACACUGUAAUAUAUGAGAUCUGAGGUGCUCAUGCAGACAAUAUAAGUUCUGCAACACUUUUAUUACUCAUUCUAAUCUCUUAAAUAAAGCACCAAAAAUAAGACUUUUGUAGUAUGAGAACACUAAUAUU